GCGGGUCGCACCCCGGGCCUCCAUUGGCCCGUAUGGCUCACCCCCAGGAUCCAAGGGUUUGGCGCAGCGCGACCAAAUGUAGUUGACAAGGAGAAUGGGGAGGGAGAGGGGCCAGUGUUGUGGGAUGGGGAUGGGGCGGGGUCUGAUGAGUAGUAGGCGGGGCUGUGUCUUGGGUGCUGUUCUCCGCUGUUCUCCAACGCGUAACCCCGCUAAGAGCAGGUGACAGAAGGAGGGGAGCAGUGAGCGCCCCAGCAAGGAGACGUUUGGCGGGCAAUAGGCAGGUCUGCAUUCCGGGCCACGCAGGCUCGGGCUAUACAGCCCCACGGCCUGGCAGGAUCGCUCAGCGCGACGGAUAGCAGGAGCGGGCUAGGAGACGCCACCAUGGCAGUAGGCAACAUCAACGAGCUGCCAGAGAACAUCCUUCUGGAAUUGUUCAUCCACAUCCCGGCUCGCCAGCUGCUGCUGCGCUGCCGACCCGUCUGCAGCCUCUGGAGAGACCUCAUUGACCUGGUUACACUCUGGAAGCGCAAGUGCCUUCAAGAGGGCUUCAUCACCGAGGACUGGGACCAGCCUGUGGCAGACUGGAAGAUCUUCUACUUCCUGCGCAGCCUCCAGAGGAACCUCCUUCACAACCCUUGUGCUGAAGAGGGAUUUGAGUUCUGGAGCCUGGAUGUGAACGGAGGCGAUGAAUGGAAGGUGGAGGAUCUCUCCAAGGACCAGCGAAAGGAAUUCCCCAAUGACCAGGUCAAGAAAUACUUCGUGACUUCCUAUUACACCUGCCUCAAGUCCCAGGUGGUGGACCUCAAGGCUGAAGGGUAUUGGGAGGAGCUGAUGGACACUACCCGGCCGGACAUCGAGGUCAAGGACUGGUUUGCAGCCAGGCCAGACUGCGGGUCCAAGUACCAGCUGUGCGUCCAACUCCUGUCGUCAGCCCACGCACCACUGGGAACCUUCCAGCCGGACCCAGUGAUGAUUCAGCAGAAAAGCGAUGCCAAGUGGAGGGAGGGUCUUAUGUAGCCCAGGCUGGCCCCCAGCUUGCUACAUAGCAGAAGACGCCUUGAGCCCCUGCUCCUCCUGCCUCUAACCCCCACCCUGCCUGGUUUAUGUGGUCUCAGGACUGAACAUAGGGCUGUGUGUGUGUCGCAAUACAGGGUUUCACACACAUUCUCCAACUAUCCGCCCGGCGUCCGCUACAUCUGGUUUCAGCACGGAGGCGUGGACACUCACUACUGGGCCGGCUGGUACGGCCCGAGAGUCACAAACAGCAGCAUCACCAUCGGGCCCCCGCUGCCCUGAUGCCUCCUGAGCCCCAGUCCUCAGAGCCCUAAUUAGUAAACAGUCAGAAAGGGCCAGCUUGGGAAGGGGAGGUAGAAGUCAGAAACUCCCAGACCUCAUUGUUAGCCUUUGCCCCCAGCUGCCUCUGUGUGGAGUUUCUAAUGUCUGGGCCACCCUCUUCUCUAGCACCCCCAGCAAAGCUGCCCCUCUAAGGGUGCAGUGUCUGAGGUUAGGCAGAUACAACAGGUUUCCAUACUUCUCAUGCUUGCCUAGACCUGUUUCUACCCCUGACCUCUCUCCUUGUUCUCCUCAAGGGCCCUGAGAGCAGGGACAGACAACAUAUCUGACAGGCUUGGGGGCUGCCUUUAAUGAUGUCAUAAGGCAGAUCUAGGAUAGAAAGCUCUGCUGGCCAGUCCUUAGCCUUGUGGUCAGCUGCUGUACACUCUCUGCUUUGGCUUUAAAGUCAGGCCUGGUACCAGAUAGGUAGGAUCAGACUGUCCUUGUCAUCCUACCAAUGAGUGCAGGACUCACCAGAAGACUCCGGAUGAGAGGCCAGAUGAGAGGUAGGAUGGACCUAGCCAAGUUCUCUGUGGCUUGAAGAUGCCCCAGCCCCAUCGGUGGGAGCGUCAAUUCAUACACUACCCCCUUGACCCCAGCACCACUCCAUCCAUCCUGUUACAUAGCCAAAUAAAAUGUUUCCAGCCUCUG